UAGAUUCAUUGAAUAAUGAAGAAAGUAUUGUGAAUGACAUGAUUGUAAAUAAUGUAAGUACAGAAGGAAAGAAAAUAGAAGCACUAUGUGUGGCUCAAUCUGAAGAUAUAUGUGAGAUCCAAUGUACAGAUAUCUCUGAAUACAUAGAAUCUGAAGAGGAUACUACAACAAGCCAGAUUCUUGGUAGCAG